rnacentral:ncRNA from 1 species
UACAACUUCUUUGAUGAGAGAAAGGAAUGAUAGGGUAACGCCUUGAAACUUCUCCAGUAAGAUACCCCGAUUGCAGUCGGCAUUGGCAACCAUAGCUGGGUAAUGAAGGUUGAAGCUACCGUAGUGCCUUCCAAUGGGAAAGACAACCGAAAGCCAUUCGAAGUAAUAAAUCGGAUGGAAUUGUA